rnacentral:tRNA from 1 species
GGUUUAAAAGAAAUUUGAGUGCAAAUCAAAUGGUGGGCUUGACGGCCCUGAGCCU